UUUGGCAUUGUGAAAAGAUAUGGCAAGAAGUGUCUCCUCCUUUUUAAAAGUUGAUAAGUCGGUUUAUUUGAUCAUAUCUACAUACUAUUUUAUGGUUAGUUGGAUUUUAUUAUGUACAUUUAGCAUGAAAACAGACCUGUGACCCAUUUUAUGGUACAAUCCGUCAGUUGAGAAAUACUGUUUUAUUGGUUCUCACUGUUUUAUAUCGAUAAUCAGGUCUUCUCAAAGUGCCACCAAUGAUUUCCUGAGAUAUAUUAUACAAGGAUAAAUCUUUAUCCUUUUUCAUUCUCCUUUUCCGUCUUUCUCUCCUUCACGUAGCUCUCUUGUUUUUUCUCUUCGGCCUUGUCAAAUGACAUAAAGUCUAAACUGUUUGUGGAGGAAUGCAAGGCAUGCAAACGCUCAUGAAGAAUGUUUCACCGCAUCUGCAUCUCGCCACUUUCUCAGAAUGUCCAGAACCUCAGGGAGGGGGAACGGGGCAGAAUACGUUUUUUUGUGUGUGUCAGAUGAGAGAAUGUAAUGAAUAAGCUCAUAUAUUGAAACAGUCUCUUCUUUUUCUCCAUGGAGAGAGUUGGGGGUUGGGUGUGAUGGAGUGAAGAGGAGGAGGAGGGGGGAGUUUUCUUGUGCCCGGAGCUUUUGUGAUGUGGUUCAUUUUCUUGAUGACGGGUCAGGACACAUCACCUCAUCAUCCAUGCGUCAGACUCUCGCUUUCCCCUUUCCUAAUGGCUGAAAGGCCUUUAUUGUUGGCAGAUCAUUCGAAAGUUGGAGGGAAGAGUAAAUGGCCAGCGUCCUCCACAGUGAGGCCUGCAGUUCACACCUUCCAUCCAGCAGAGAGUCUUCUUUGGCCUGGUGUUUUAAUCCCUGUGGAGCUGCAUGGCCAGACAACAAAUAGCUCCUGCAGGAGCAACAUCUCGCACAUGAAUGUCAAUGGGUGUGUUGAUAUGCCAAUGAUAGGGACAUCAGACCGGGCAGGGCAGGUGAGAACUGAUUCUGUUCAGCUCUGUGACUGUUUUGGCCACAGCAGGGAGCGAGAGAGGAGGACAGUGAUGGUGUGAAUGUGGGGGUUGGUCACCCUACAGCAUUAUGGACUCCACUGAAACUAGAUGCUGACUUUACAGAGUCCAGUGCAGGGAAAUCUGCCAAGGAAAGAAUAAAUGACACAUUCAAGUCCCAUAGAAUUGUUCCCAACCAAAGCAGAGUUUUCUGGUAGGCUCAGUGGUUACCACUGUGACCUUAAGGUCAAGUGAGCAGAGUUCACAUUCCUCUGAGUUACCCAGAUCCCCCUUGGUGCCUUUAAGAGGCUUCUGAGCUGAUGUGCUGCCCAUUUCAGUGGCAAUAUCUCAUAACCACCGGCAAGACUCCAUGACUCAGCAGAAGACACUGCACUCAGGGUCUCCUCAGGGUGUGAGAGGUGCGAGCUUUGAGACGGAGUGCACUUUUAAACUUUAAACUCAGCUGUCUGGAAGAGAAGUCAGCACAUGUUGUUGCUCCGGUGUCCUCUGAGCAAACUUCGCCCCUGAUGGAAGUGAGAGCACGGGGGAGGACAUCAAGGGGAGAUUUCAUGCCUGAACACAGAGUGAGAUUUAUAUCCUCAAAAGGCCCUAUUGUUCUCCAUUCAGAAGGCAACUGAUGAGCAUCACAAGCUGGGAUGAGGGGAGGGUAAGGAGAAAGAGAGAGAGAGAGCCAGAAGAAGAGCGAUGUAACAUUGUAUUGCUUAAUAAAUCGAUGUAUCACAAAUUACUCACUCAAUAUAGUUUCACACAUCGACAACUUUACACAAACAUUCCUUUUUCCUCUUCCUAAUAACCAAAAGCUUUGACUAAACAGUUUUGCCAGUUGUGAAAAUUUCUGUGUUACAACAGAAUUGGUGCUGUACUAGUAUUUUUUAGUAUUUCAUGAGUUUCCACACCAGAGGUGACUUUUAGCUCAUUAAAUGCACACUGCUAUUAUCCAAAACAUGUCUUCUGCUUUAAUCUGGCCGUCGUCAUCGAUCAGUAAGACGAGAUAAGAAUCUCCAGAGACAAUGGCAGCAUAUGGCAUAGCUUUUUAAGAGACAGAUGUUCAACUCGGGCAAAGAUGAAGGCACGAAAAUAAUCAUGACUUUAGCUUUGAGCCUUAGUGUGCUGGAGGGUCAGAAGGCCAAAAGGUCACUCAACUCUGGGACGUUUUCUUAGAUGUUUCGCAUAAGGCCUGACUGGCAUGUCACAAUAAUAAACUAUCUGGUUUGGAAACAAAGUUUAGAGAACCGCACUGCAUGCCUCCCAUACGUGCAGCUCCUCAUUCUCCAGGUCUUGAUGCAGUUAAAACAUAUUUUUUCAUUUUAUCAGUUAAAAAGUGGUAAUAAAGUGGAAGUGGAAAGACGAAAGGGAAAUUUUACCCCAAAAUUACAAUUUUGUCAUCAUAUACUCAUGGAAGAAGUCCAGGAGGUCACACUAAAUACAGAUUUUUGCUUAAGAAACAAUUUUGUUCAGAUUUUUUAUUUUUUUAUUUAUAUUUCCUGUAUUUUCUGUUUGUAUCAUAAUAAAGAGACUGAAAAAUAAAAAAUUAUGGUCAUUAAAACGUUGCUAAAACAAUAAAGCUGACUUUUGCACAGUACUAUUUUUUGGUGAACUAUCCCUUUAAGCCAGGAUUUUUCAACAACACCAACAAUAAAGUCCCUAAACAUGGGACUUUAAUCCAUCAAACAUUCCCUUCACUUCCCUUCAGAGGAACAUAUUUGUAUUUCCAUCACAUUUGGCCAUGUUAGUUCCGCAUUGACACUGACCCUGGAAAACACCUGCAGUCCCCACACGUCUUCGUGUCUUUGAUGCAACAGCAGAUACUUGCCCCACCUGUGUUUGCAAACGAACUAGCACGUGGUAAAAACCUAGGGGUUUUUCUUUGCCAUGACAUUCACUGGGA